rnacentral:rRNA from 1 species
CCUACGGGAGGCAGCAGUGAGGAAUAUUGGUCAAUGGACGAGAGCCUGAUCCAGCCAAGUAGCGUGAAGGAUGACUGCCCUAUGGGUUGUAAACUUCUUUUAUAAAGGAGUAAAACGAGGCACGUGUGCCUUUUUGCAUGUACUUUAUGAAUAAGGAACGGCUAACUACGUGCCAGCAGCCGCGGUACUACGGAGGUUGAGAUCGUUAUCCGGAUUUAUGGGGCUAAACGGGUGCGUAGGCGGGCAUUUAGGCCGGCGGGAAUAUGCCGGGGCUCAACCCCGUCCUGCAGUCGAAACUGGGUGCGUUGAGUGGGCGAGAGGGAUGCAGAAUGCGUGGUGUAGCGGUGAAAUGCGUAGAUAUCACGCAGAACCCCGAUUGCGAAGGCGGCAUACCGG